AUCAUUGAUUGAGCAGACAACUGAACAAAACAAAGCACUCGAUGCUAGACCUGAAUCUUCUUCAUCAUUUAAUUUAUGUAAGUAUGAAUUUAUUCUAAAUUCACUGUUUCCAAGUUUUCAGAGCUUUAUGCAGUGAAACCUAGUCUACUGCUGUAACUGACACUCGGUACAACGAAUACCUCUGUACAACGAAUACCUCUGUACAACGUAAAGUACAGUAAGUUCAGGACUUCAGGUCCCCAACUUUUGUAUUUUAGAUACAUAUUGAGGUAAAAAUCUGUGUAUAGUCUCUAAAGAACAAGUUGCAUACUAUGACCAGGGAAACCUUUCAAUUCUUCUACUGGGAACCGAGAACAGCAACUGCAGAAAACAAAAUUAUACAUCGAGUCAAAACCUUACGAUACAUUACUAAUUAAACUUAAUUUGCCUCUUAAAAGUUCUUACUGUAUCUUUCUUUUAAACAACCUUAAGUAGCAAUAGUCGGCGAAUUGACAUAAAAAACCCAAACGACGUCGAACGUUUCAACUGUCGUCGUUGUUAUGAGACACGAAAAUGAUGGGGAAAUAACGUGGCAGUUCCAACAACUCCGGCACACUAGAAUACCCAAGGAAAUACAGUACAAUUUAUAGUCGCCUUUGUCUUCGAGUAAAAAUACUAUUGUUGAUGAGCUCGUCUUCAUUGACGUUGCCGUCGUAUUUCCAAACCCACAUCAGAGAGCUUAAGAUCUACGACGCGCCGGGUCAACAACGUGGUCUGAAUUUCAGCUCAAGAAUGAGUGCUAAGCAAUUUCAUUACUGUAAUAAAUGUUUGAAGAUUUUUCAAAUAACAUUACAAACUGCUAAGUUCGACUAAAGCGAUGCAAUGUUUGCUGUAAUUUCGACUUUAAGUAACACCUCUUGGGUCGCAAUAAGCUUUCACGUUGCAUGAAUGCUUAGUUUAACGUUGUGCUGAGCAUGACAAAGCUGUUGAAAAUACCCCUGGGACAACGAAUUAUUCACAUUUUUUGUCUUGCAUGACAAAUUUCUUUCUUUCGCAAGCGCGUCGUUGAGCCGGCCGCGUCGUACAUCUUAAGCUCUCUAAUACUAAACCUCUUCAAACCAAGGAGUGCAAGCUCCGCUCCCAAGGUACAAUAUACACAGGUUCUACUGCUUUAUUUACUACACGUUGUGUCUACAGGCAUGGAUUUACUGAGGGGGUGCGCACCUCCCGCCCCCCCCCCUCCCAGCCCUGGUCAAAGGGGGUGCUAUUUUUCAUGAUAAAGCAAGAAAAUAUUAGAGACAAUGAGAUACAGUAAUUUAAGUAAUAACGUGAUGAUAAUCAAACUGUGAAGAACAAUUAUAGUUCAAAUACGGUAGUCAAGCAAGUACUGUACUGCUGUAUGUUGAUGGCAAUGAUGGGCAGGCGGCACACGUGACCGACACAACUCUGCACCAGAGCUGGCAGAGCACCCCCUACCAGAUUAUGCUGGAUCCACCCCUUGUGUGUCUAAGUUGUCCACUUAUCUUUCUCUUUCGUUUCUACAGGCGAGGAUCUGGAAUUAAGCGAGUCAGGAAGUGACAGCGAUUGAAAACCAGAAUCUUAAAGAAUAAAUGCAGAAUUUUAUGAUGCGCAGAUACUCUGCCAGGAAGUUCCGUUCCCUGCACACACUACUAUACAAUGCCAUUGAUGGAUGUGAAUAAUUGAACAUUCGAAGGAAGGAAAUGCAAUACAUCUUAUUGCCUGUCAAUUGCGAACUGUGUACAUGUGACCCCACUGAAUUGCAUUAUACAGUUUGUAAAGUAUUAUUAGCUAGAGUAUGGAUUAUGGAACUGUAAUAUCAUUUAAAACUGACGCAUUGAUUAUCUUUUUUAAACAUAUGCUUUACUCUGCAGUGGAGGACACUUCGCGAAAUAAUUGA
rnacentral:lncRNA from 1 species